AUGCAUCUAUCUGACAGGCCUGGAGCAGUUGCUGUCUGCUCCUCGGGUUUCCACUACCAAUGCAAAAAGAAAGUAUCCUUGAGCUUACUGUCUGUCUGAUUGUGGCAGCCCAGAUUGAAUGGGGGAAUACAGAU
ensembl:snoRNA